CCCCUGCUUCCAGAGAUAGAGAGCCCUUCCUUCCAAACUAGAGCAGCCUGGCCUUAAAACACUGCACCUCAUGGACGAGUGACCCACACCACAGCAGUUUUGGGAAGAUUGUUUGCCUGUGGGAGUGAUUCACGCUGCAGCAGUUUUGGUAGGACUGCUGAUUGUGAGAUUAGAGCCAUGCUGGAGAAGUUCACAGAGAAAUGUCUCCUAUGGGAGGGGCCCCAUGGCAUAGCAGAGAAAAGACUCCUGUCCCUUGAAUGAUGAACUGACCAAAAUCCCCGUGCCCUGUCUCCCUGCACUGUCAGUGGCAAGGAGAGAGGGGCUGGGGGUAAAAAAGGUGUUUUAAAGGCUCAUUUUAUUUCUCAUUAUCCUCCCCUCCUAUGACUCUGUUAAUAACAAAUUUACUUUGCACCUUUAAGUUUGAACCUGCUUGGUCCUUAGAGUGAUUUCUCCCGGUCCUCAUCUCAACUCAUGAGCCCUUUGACAACUUUUUUCCCUUUUCUCUGCCCAGAUGAGAACAAGAGAGAGUGAGUGAGUGGCUUUUGUGGGUACCCAUUUGGCCAGUGUCAAACCACGACAUCAUCUCACUAACCUUGUCUCAUUAUGGAUAAAAAAGAAGUGUCUACAGACACAGCAUCAUCUUGCAAAAAGUUUUUCUGGGGAGGAUUCAACGCUGAAUGUUUCUGCAACAAUUUCAAGCAUCUGGAUAAGACCAUAUCACCAGCUUCCUCACCGUGCUGAUAAAGGCUGGCUGACAUUCCUGGUUAGAAAUUCUGCUGGUAAAAACUGCAGUGCAGUGUUCCCACAAGGCUGGCAGAUGAUUCUCACUUUUGUCAGAUUUUCCAUCCAAGUUCAAAAGAAACUACUCCAGGGUCAGAGAAUUUUAUUUGUACAGGCUUUAGAAAGCUCAAAAUAAAAAUGAAAAUUUUCUUGUUGAGAGAAAUAUUUUGUCCAGUAUGAAACAUAUUAAUUAUUAACUUUGCAGUCCUUUGAUUUUUCUUUUUCUUGUGAGUGAGCCAGCAACUCUAGAAUCAACCUCCUUAAGCUUAAACUUGCCCUUUCCAAAAGUACUUGAGAGGCAGAGAAGCAAAUCAAGUGUUCCCAGAUUGUUGAAGUGACCUAGCAGCAGCAUUAUUUUUCUUUACCUCAGGCAAAAAUACACACCAAAACACAUGCAUAUAUGCUUUUGCAUACCAUGCAAACGCUUUGGGGUCAGGUGACAGCUCUCCAGAGGGACAACAAAGUAUUUUCCCUAAGCCCUGCUCUUUGAUGCCAUUUAUCUUCCUGCCUCACCUGUACCUCUCUGGUCCCCUUAGCCAGAAAUGACUGGGAGAGGUGCUGCUGAACCUGGAAUCCUCUUGAGAAAUCUGUCUUCUGAUUAAAUUUAUGAGAUACAUUUCCAUGCUCCUUGAAUAUUCAAGAGUAAGGGGAGAAAUCAGCUUCUUAUUACAGAGAUCUUUAUAUAAUAGAAGACUGUCCAGCCUUAGCCACUCCUUGUUCUUUAGCAUGACAGCUCACCAUGGAAAUGAGG
rnacentral:lncRNA from 1 species